rnacentral:sRNA from 1 species
UUGUACAGCUGGAUCUUGAGAUAGAACUAUUUCCAGUUUUCUGAGAAACUGCUAAAUUGAUUUACAGAGUGGUGUGACAAGUUUCCACUCCCAGCAGCACUGGAGGAGUGUUCCCCUUGUUCCACAUCCUACAUGAUCUUAGCCAUUCUGAUGGGUGAAGGUGGGAUGUCAAGGUUGCUCUGAUUUGUAGGAGAUUUCUCUGUUCUGUUUAGCUCUGUGCCUUAUUUUUAAAUUGGGUCAUUUGUGUUGGUGUCUACCUUCUUGAGUUCCUUAUAUACUUUAGAUAUUAAUACUUUGUCAGAUGCUGGGGAGGUGAAGAUAUUUUCCCAAUGUGUAGAGUGUCAUUUAGUUCUAUUUAAGGAGUCCUUUGACCUACUGAAGAUUUUCAGAUUCAUGAGGUCCCAGUUUUUAGUUGUUGAUCUUAGUGCCUGAGUUAUUGGUGAUGUGUUCAGGAAGUUGUCUCUUUACCAAAAAGUUUAAGGCUACUCUCUACUUUCUGUUCUAUUAGAUUUAGUUUAUCUGGUUUUAUGUUGUGGUCUUUGAUCAACUGGGAUUUGAGAUUUGUGCAUGGUGAUAAAUAGGAAUUAUUUGCACUCUUCUACAUGAGGACAUCCAGUUAGAUCAGCACUAUUUGUUGAAGAUGCUCUAGCUUUCCACUGCAUGAAUCUGGCUUCUUUUUCAAAAAAUCAAGUGUUCAUAUGUGUGUGGGUAUGUUUUUGCGUGUUCUAUUUGACUCCAUUGAUCAGCUUGUCUGUUUACAAACCCAAACCAAGCAGUUUGUAUUACUAUUGCUGUGCAGUAGAGCUGGAAGCCAGGGAUAGUGAUAUCUCCAGAAGUUUGUGCUUUAUUCAUUUUGCAGGUAAGUUUAAGCUAUCCUGUUUCUUUUUUCUACAUGAGGUUGAGAAUUGGGGAACAAAUUUCGAUGUUCCUGUGUGAAAAAGUAUGAUGACACCUCUAUUUAAGUAUGAUGACACCUCUAUUUUAUUCAAUACAUAAAAUCUAAGUUUGAAUGGAUCCUAGAUUAAAAAUAAAAUAGCAAAGCUAUAAACCAUAUGUAAACAAAAAUGGUGUAGAUUCUUGUGAAUGGUCUAGGCAAGUCUUAAGUAUUUUACUGGAAUGGGAAGGAAAAAUGAAAACAGAUAAAAUGAUCUUUAUGGUUCAAAGUACAUUAAUGAUAACAUGAAAAUGGCCCCACAAUGGGAACAAAGUACUGACAAUUCCUUUGUCCGAUAGCACACUUCAAACCACAAUUCAUAAGCCUCUCCUUACCUUAGUAAUACACAGAGAAGUAACUUAGUUUUUAAAAUGAGCAAAAAGAUAAAUAGAUGGUCUACUAAUUAUUUUAUGGAAAUGCUUGAUAAACACACGGAAGAACGUUGAACACUGCAUUUUUAGAGAAGGACAAAAUUACAAAGUAUACUGUACAGGUGGUGGUUUGAAUAGGUACACCCAUCCACAUAGAUUCCUGUGUUUGAAUAUGGAGUGGCACUAUUAGUAUGUAUAGCUUUAUAUGAGGAAGUGUUGUCUUGUUAGUGGUAGUAUGGCACUGUGGAGAUAGGGCUCUGAGGUCCUAAGUGCAUCCAGCCUGUUUUCGUUGCCUGAGGAUCAAGAGGCAGAACUUUCAGCUCCUUCACCACCAUGACUGAGCAUUACCAGGCUUCCCACCAUGAUGAUAAUGGGCUCUACCUGUCUAUUAUCUGUAAUGUCCAUUAACUGUAAGCUAGCCCCAAUUAAAUGUUUUUAUUGAAACAGUUGUCUUGUUCAUACUGCCUUUUCACAGCAAUAAAACCAUAAGACAAUACCACUCCCAGUAAAACUGAAAAUAUAAAAUAGAGACAAUAUAACAAGUUUUGUCUAAAGUCUGGAGAAUUUAAAUAAGCAUGCAUUGUUCAUGGGAAGGAAAAAUAUUGAAGCUGCUUUGGAAAAUAGUAAUUUCCUAGUAAUGUACUAAAGAGAAGUGAGAGUGUGUAUUACCUAAGAAGUAGUAUACAAGUGCUCAUAUCUGUGUACCCAUAACUUCACAAAGUCGGAAUAAUCCAGUGGCUGCCAGUAGAUGACUGGAAAAUAUGUAGCCAACCCAUGGAAAGCAAUGUCACACCGAUGGGAAAAAAUGACAUAUUGACCUCUGCUAAGAAAUGAAGUGUGAAAUACAAAAAAGCACAUGAUAGUAACCAACUGAAACAGACCACAUAUGUAAUAGCUAUUAACCUAUUAAUAAGAUUUUAUCAGUGGCAGAAUUAGAGGGAAAAAGACAGGCAUAACUAUUCCUAGGUCUGAAGUUGAUUUUUGUGGUGAGGAACUUUGUUAAAAUUUAUUUGAUGGUGUUGAGAUAGUUCUGUGUGUAAAACAAUAAUCAUAGACUACACUUGAAUGGCUGAAUAAUACAGUGUAUGAAUGCUCAUUCAAUAGAAUAUUCACAAUACAAAGCUAUAACAAACCGAAAAACAUUAAGAGUAGACAGCUUGAAAGUGAAAUCAAAGCUCUCCCCUCCAAGCCUCUUAAGACCCUGUUCAUUUUGAUCCUGUCAUCUGGACUGGGACACUCACCACCUCCUGGGGCUCUCACAGCCUGCUCACUACACCAAAGCUUCUGUCCUUCCUGGAAGUCUGUCUUUAAACAGUGAGGUUUACAUACUGUCCUAGUUUUCUUUCUAUUGCUGAAAUAAAAUCCGACCAAAACCAUAUUGGAGAGUGAAGUGUUAAUUUGGCUCACAGGUUACAGGCCAUCAUCAUCGGAAGCCAAGGCAGGAAGUCAAGGAAGAACCCACAGUCAGGAACUGAAAUAGAACCAUGGAGGGAAGCUGCUAACUGAGUUGAUCCUCGUUGGUCCUCAUGUUUCAGGAGAAUUCUUAUUUUGAAACAACACAGAACUACAAGAAUGGGAGUCCCAUUACCCACAGUGAGAUUUAGAAGUGCUGCUCUAGAAGAAAUGGGUUUGUGGACAUAUGCUGCCAUGCCCAGUCAUACACGAGCUCUGGAAAUCUGACCUCAGGGCUUCCUAUUUGUGUGCUUUUAAGCACUGAGACAUCUCCUAGCUGACGUAUUAACAUUCUUAAACAAGAAUAUGAGAUCUCCACCUGCUCACCUCAUCCUUCUUGCAGCUGGCUGAGAAUUUAGCAAAGGAAAGUGACAAGAAUCGGGUAUUCGAAACUUGUUUCAGGUUCCUGUUUGCAGCAUCGGUUUUUAUCGGUGUGGGAGACUUCUCCAGCAGACUCUUCCUGCUUUCAAGCUCUUGUUUCCUCUGGUACUUUCCAGUUGGUCUGUUUCAGAGUUCCUCCACAACAGAGCCGCAGCCUU